ACAUUCUAUUUAAACUACUUCUU
rnacentral:tRNA from 1 species